UGUGAUUCUGUAUUGACAAGUCGAUGUUAGUUUGAUUAUUGAUCAAAGAAGCUCAUAAUGAAAAACGUGUGAACAUAGAGCAAGAUUUCAUUUUUUUAGAUGGACACAAGGAGUCGUUGGUUGCACUCACAAGUGAAAAGGUUGACCCACUUUCCAUGCACAAGGUUUCACUAGAAUUCUAUACUUUUUGGUGUAAAUGUUGACUGAUGGAAACAAUUUUAUGAUCAACCAUGUGCUCCACAUGUCACUUGAAAACUUCUGCCAGACAACUAUGGAUAACAGGUGAAAUUCAUUGCUCAGGUUGAGGGAAGAAAGCGAGGUUGUGCUCGCUAUUCUUAUUCGAUAUGUCUUGUUCGGCAGGACUCGAAGUGUUAAUGGUGCACAAUCACUGCUGUUAAUCUGGCAAGAGGUUGAUCCAUCACGGAGAACAUGUGCUGCCAAUGAACAGUUGUACUGCCCUCUGCCAUUGAUCAGCAAACUCUGCAUCCAAGAUCAGCCUUCUCUUGCUUGAAGUGGAAGGACAAGAAGGAUGAGUGGCUUUCAUGAAGAUCACUGAUGCAACCUUUUUGCUCCCAAAAUAUAUUACUUCAAAAGUAAGCAGUGUGGACAUGACUACUGUGACUACUGUCAAACAAUGAAUAAAUGCAAAUGAUAUAAAUAAAUCUUCUAAUUUUGCAUC